GUACAUGCCUUCAAAUUGCAGAAAAGUGGAGAGAGAAAGAGGGAUGUAGCUGGGUUUUCGAAACAGUGAAAUCUGCAAGUGUCCUCUUCAUCCGCGAGCUCCCAUUCCAGCAUAUUGUCCGUGAAAUUUCUCAGGAUUUCAAGGUGAAUUAAGCUGUGAGAUUGAACAUGAUGGGAAGGUUCAUCUGCAAGGAGUUGUAACAGGGGGGAGCUAGCUAAAAUGAAUCCUUUUUUUUUGGUGUUAUGUUCUCACCAACCCCGUUCCAAUCUUUGAAUUUUCUCUGAAAAUUUAAGCUAUAACUAAAAUGGUAGGAAGAGGGAAGACAUGCCCUAGGUUCUGGUUUUCAGUAGUAAGCCUGGUUUUCAGUUUCCGGUGUGUUUUAUUGCUCGAUUUACCUUUUCCUAUCGUCAUUAAGUGCCUCGUUGCAGAGCCUGGACAAAGUUCAAAGCAUCAAUGUCAGAUGACGUUGCUAGAAUCUAGUAUCCCAGGAGCAUCAACAUCAGCCUUUAUGCGUCUUCAAAGAGACCGGCAGAUUCAGCAAAGAUUGUUGCAGCGGCAGCAGAAACAACAAUAGCAACAGCAACAGCUUCCCGCAUCAGGUGCGUUGAUGACACAUGCCCAAACUACUUCCCAGCUACCUGCAUCAUCUUCUGUGCAGAAUGCUUCCCAGAUUCAAUCACUAACUGCUUUUCAGCCGAAUUCAUCCUAAUUGCUCUCAGGCUCCCGCUGAUGCAAUUUCUUCUUCUUUAUCUUCCUCUCU